GACGAACGCUGGCGGCGUGCCUAAUACAUGCAAGUAGAACGCAGUUGCGAGCGGGUGAGUAAGGCGUAGGUAACUGCCUCAUAGCAGGGGAUAACUAGUGGAAACGAUAGCUAAUACCGCAUACUGUGAGUUGAGACUGCGUUGGAUUAGCUAGUUGGUUAGGUAAAGGGUCACCAAGGCGACGAUACAUAGCCGACCUGAGAAGGUGGACGGCCAAACCGGGAAUGGGACAACGGCCAGACUGCUACCGGAGGGCGCAGUAGGGAAUCUUCGGCAAAUGAAGGAAAUCUUAACGAGGAAAGGCGCGUGAGUGAAGAAAGUUUUCGGAUCGUAAAGCUCUGUUGGUAGAGAAGCGGUAACUAACCAGAAAGCGACGGCUAACUACGUGCCAGCAGCCGCGGUAAUUC
rnacentral:rRNA from 1 species